rnacentral:lncRNA from 1 species
UUAUAGUGAAUUUAAGUAAAAGGAAAAUUAAUACACAGAAGAACAUCCUAUAAGUAGUAUUCCCAAAUACAAAAGCCAGGCUAUGAAUUUGGCUCUCAGCUUGGCAGCCAAAGCAAACUGAAAAAUAUAAUGAGGUUCACAUUCCUUUUAGGACUUAAAAACCAAUCAGUAGGGCUGGGGUUGUGGCUCAAGUGGUAGAGUGCUCACCUAGCAUGGGUGAGGUACUGGGUUCGAUCCUCAGCACCACAUAAAAAUAAAAUAAAGAUAUUGUAUCCAACUUAAAAAAAAAAAUCAGUUACUCAAGAAGAGCAAAAAGUUCUGUGAUUUUUCCAAGAAUACAACUGGUGAUAUGGUUGACACCAUUCUUUAUAAUACCUAACAGCAAAUAUGAUGUUGAAUUCUAUACCACUAUUUCCUCUAGAAACACAAACAGGGAUUUAGAAGGUCUAUCAGGCUCAUAACAGUUUAGCCACAUAUGCUGCUUUAUGAUGGUCUGAUUUAGUUAGGGUUAAACUUCAGUCUAUCCAAAGGACAGAUGGACUGUGUUUCCUUCAGACAGUUCUCCAUAAGUGCUAUUUCUCCAAAUGGCACUUCAGUUAAAGUCAAGCAACAUUUAGUUAUAAUUUUUAGCAAAUGGAUUAACUGUAGAUAUUCUGUUAUCACUUAAUAGUAAGUAGGUCCUUUGAAAACUUAAAAGACUGCCUUAAAUGUGAACAUAGGUGAAAUAUAUAAAUAUAUUAACUUUUAAAACUCAACCAGAAAACAUAAUAGAGUGCUAUGCAGUUGUUUUUUCAUUCAUCAUUCAUUCACACAGAGCAAAUGUUUAAGCAUCUUCUGUGUGGGAAGCACAGUUCUAGGCACUGAGGUAAAGUAAACAGACAGACUCAGAUCUCUACCUGCAUGUUGCUAACAUUCUAGGGAAGGAAUAAAAAAUGAACAAAAUUCCAUAAUAUUUUAGAAGGUGAUCAAUUCUAUAAAGAAAAAUAAUUGAAGGAUGAUGGAAAUAUGUUUGUAGAUAUUCUUACACUUUAAUUAAUAAAAUUUCAAUCUUAAUUAAUUUUAAUUUAGAAAUUAAAAUACUAGAGAUUAAACCCAGAGGCACUUUACCAUUGAGAUACCUCCGUAAUUCUUUUUAUUUUUUAUUUUGAAACAGAGUCUCACUAGGUUACCCAGUCUGUCCUCAAACUUGCAAUCCUCUUGCCUCAGCCUCUGAAUAGAUGGGAUUAUAGGUGUGUGCCACUGGGCCUAGCUAGAUUUUAAUUUUAAAGAGUGGUCAGACAAGCCCCUAUUUUCUAAAGGGAUAAUUUUUAAGUAAAAACAUGAAAAAUAAAAUUAGAGAAAUAUAUUAUUGAAAUGGAAAGAUGUUUCUGUAUUUUAUUGCAUAAAAAAGAGUAUCUGUGGACUGGGAUUGUGGUUCAAUGGUAGAGCAUUUGCCUAGCACGUGCAAGGUGUUGGGUUCGAUCCUCAUCACCACUUAAAAAUAAAUAAAUAAAUAAAGACUAUCUGUUAGAAAAUAACAUCAUAUGAUAUGAUCCUUUUUUUUUCUUUUUUGUAGUGCUGGGGAUUGAACCCAGGGCCUUGUGCAUGCGAGGCAAGCACUCUACCAGCUGAGUUAUAUCCCUAGCCCACUGAUCCCAUUUUGGAAAAAUAUAUGUGUAUGUAUGUGCCUCUUUGUAUUUAUAGUUUGAACAUUUUAGGAAGAGUAUAUGUUAAGAUAUCAGUAGUGAUUAUCUUUGGGUGGCAGAUUUUAUGAGUGAUUUUUGUUCUUUUUGCUAUCAGUAUUUUCUGAUGUUUUGAUGAUGAACAUACACAUAUGGUGCAUUAAAGCUAGUAUUUCAGUUUCAAAGUUUUAAAAAAGUUAACCAGUCAGAAUGGAAAUUAAGCAGUCCUGCAUAGGUUCCUUCACAUUUAAAUGGACAGCCCCCAACUAUCAAGGACAGAGCUAGGGAGUUGAGAUAUGAAGACCAUACCAUGGUAGAAGAUAAUUGGGAACUGCUAUAAAAGAGAGGUAAGUAAAAAUAAAGGUUUCAAAGUUCUGUUAGCAAUGUCCAAUAGAAAUAAGAUACAAGCCACAGAUGUAGUUUUCUGUGAUCUACUAACCUCAUUAAAACUACAAAAAAGAAACAGGUAAAACUAAUUGUAAUAGUAUUUUAUUUAGCCCAUGUAUUAAAAAUAUUAUAAUUCCAAUAUUAAUAUUAAAUAACUAUUAAUAAGUUAUUUCAUAUACUCUUUUUCAUACAAAGUUAUAAUAUUUUGGUAUAGUUUACAUUUUCAGCACAUCUCACCUACACAUUUCAAUUGCUCCAUAGCCACAUAUGACUAGUGACUACCAUAUUAAACAAUGUUAUUCUAGAUCAUAGAUUAUUAUAGUCUGUGAAAAUUUCAAAGCAAAUAUUAAAAGUAGGUAUGAGACUACCCAGAAACCAAAUAUUUAUGUUAUCUACUGACAAAACUUUUCCCUUUUGAACAGAACUAGAGAUAUCUUCACCCAUUUUUACCAUUUAAUUAUCCUUUUCUCAACUCCACUGACCUCUCCUUCUAUUAACACAUUUUUUUCCCCCUCUUCUGGAUGGGGCACUGGAAUUUCAGUUUUUUCCAAAACUAUCAUCCUUUAUUUAUAGCUUAUAACUUAAGGAGAAGAAUGCUCAUAAUGAUGAAACUCUUAACAUUACAUAUGAAUUCUUAAAAAUUUAUUUCAGAGAAAAACUCCUUGAUAGUCUCUUCAUCAACAUGAGGCAAAAUAUUAAAUAGGUUCAUUCAUUCAGUUAACAUUUAUAUAGUACAGAAUGAUAGGCAAAGGGAAUACAAAUAUAAUUAAGAUAUCCCUUUUACCACUUAGAAUCUCAUAGGGAAAGAGAAAUCACAUUCAAAUAUCCUUUUUUUAAAUUGAUUUUUUCAUACACAUGUUUUUAGUUGUUGAUGGACCUUUAUUUUAUACAUUUAUUUAUAGGUGGUGCUGAGAAUUGAACCCAGUUCCUCACACAUGCUAGGCAAGCACUCUACCAUUGAGCCACAACUCCAGCCCUCAAAUAUCCUUUUCAAUGUGUUUGUUUCUUUGAUAAAGUAAUCAUGCUUAUUAGAAAAAGAGUGCAAGUUGGAGCAAUUUUUUAAAAUUAUGUGUUAAUUUUGAAAAAUCAUAACGGAAAAUUAUAAAGCAGAAAAUUAGCUGGGUGUGGCGAUGCAUGCAUGUAAUCCUAGUGGCAGGAAAGUCACAAAUUCAAAGACAGCCGCAGCAAUUGAACAAGGCUCUAAGCAACUUAGCAAGACCUCGUCUCAAAAUAAAUGAAGAAAAGAGCUGGGGAUGUGGCUCAGUGGGUGAGUGCUGCUGGGUUCAAUCCUUGGUUCCAAAAAAAUAAAACAAAACGAAGAAAAUUAAUCAUAAUUCUACUACCAGAGAGAACUACUACUAACAUUUUGGUUUAUUUCUUUCCAGUCUCUUAUCUGUGGUUUUGUGAUCAUACUGCACAUAUAAUUUUGUAUAUAAUUCUGCUUACUAUUAUAUUGCAAGCAUUUUUCCUUGUCAUUAAAACAUUUUCAAGGCCUAAUGACUAUAUAAAAUUACAUA